GCCGAAGUGGUGGAAUUGGUAGACACGCUAUCUUGAGGGGGUAGUGAGUUACGCUCGUGCCGGUUCGACUCCGCCUUCGGCACCA
rnacentral:tRNA from 1 species